GGAAUUUUGGACAAUGGGCGAAAGCCUGAUCCAGCCAUGCCGCGUGUGUGAAGAAGGUCUUCGGAUUGUAAAGCACUUUAAGAUGGGAGGAAGGGUAGUAACUUAAUACGUUGCUACUUUGACGUUACCGACAGCAUAAGCACCGGCUAACUCUGUGCCCGCAGCCGCGGUAAUACAGAGGGUGCAAGCGUUAAUCGGAAUUACUGGGCGUAAAGCGCGCGUAGGUGGUUUGUUAAGUUGGAUGUGAAAUCCCCGGGCUCAACCUGGGAACUGCAUUCAAAACUGACAAGCUAGAGUAUGGUAGAGGGUGGUGGAAUUUCCUGUGUAGCGGUGAAAUGCGUAGAUAUAGGAAGGAACACCAGUGGCGAAGGCGACCACCUGGACUGAUACUGACACUGAGGUGCGAAAGCGUGGGGAGCAA
rnacentral:rRNA from 1 species